rnacentral:lncRNA from 1 species
UGUUUUUUGUUUGCCUGUUUAUUUUCUUAUUCUUUUUUAUAUUUUUUUAUUUCUUCCAUGUAUAUUUUUAUUAUAUAUUUCAUUAUAUUAUCAUCAUGUGGAAGAGAUUGUUAUAUGUGUGAAGUCAAAACUCAGGCUUGAGGAAAAAGAUAUAAGCUUAAGUAAGGGGUCGUCUUGUCUCAGCCACCGGGGUUCUCAUCUCGUAGGGUCUUUGUUGACGAUUUCGCCCAGAAUAGAUCAAUUCAAAAGGAUUGUCAUGAGAAGGUCAACACUUC